AACUUUUAAACUCUCACAAGUAAAAAAUACCAAUAGAGACUCAACUACAAACAGAACACCCAACUCACAAAAAGGUGUAAUUAUUACAAUCGAGAUGACAAAAAGUAGAGUUGCCGCCAUCUCCACCACAAAAAACAGGAACACCACCAUCAAAGCCCAGGUUUAGGGGAAAACUACAACCACACAAAAACCUACUACCAAAAAAAAAAAAUACAUAAGCAGGAAGAACCCAAACAACACCAAGACAAAGCUGCAAAACAAGGAGGUAACACAAGGUGAAAGGGAUUUAAAGAGAUUUGGGGCAACAAAAAACUAGAGCAAAGAGCUUAAUCAAACCCUCAAAGGGUCAGAAAUCAC
rnacentral:lncRNA from 1 species